rfam:Trichobilharzia regenti genome assembly, scaffold: TRE_scaffold0001943
AUCCAGCUGACGAGUCCCAAAUAGGACGAUAUACACAUCCUGGAU